rnacentral:lncRNA from 1 species
CCCCUUACCUCCCCUUUAUAUAGAUAAUUUGGAUGUAACCAUCGAACACAUGGAGUCUCGCUUAUUGUGGUACGAAAGGAUAGUUAACCUCUAUUAUUGGGCCAUUACCAUAGAGUUAGUGGGCAGUUUUUGCCCACUAAUAGUCGUGGUGUGUAGUAGUUUUUCCACGAUUACGGUGUUAUAACUAUAGAUUAGGUAGUCGGCCAUGUCAAUUGUCUGUUUGAUAGUCGGUUACUUUAUCCAGAUCAUGGACAGUUGGAAAAAGCC